CAUUGUGGUCCGGCCCGGCCGGCGGCGGCGGCGACGUGAAGCGGCGCGAAGAUGGCUGAGAAGCAGCCGCAGAAGCACGACGGGCGGGUGAAGAUCGGCCACUACGUGCUCGGGGACACGCUGGGGGUCGGCACCUUCGGCAAAGUCAAGAUUGGAGAACACCAGCUUACGGGACACAAAGUGGCAGUCAAAAUUUUGAACAGACAAAAAAUCCGCAGUUUGGAUGUUGUUGGGAAGAUCAAACGAGAAAUCCAAAACCUAAAACUUUUCCGGCAUCCCCAUAUUAUCAAACUGUACCAAGUCAUCAGCACACCAACAGAUUUUUUCAUGGUUAUGGAAUAUGUAUCCGGCGGGGAAUUGUUUGAUUAUAUCUGUAAAAAUGGACGGGUUGAAGAGGCUGAAGCAAGGCGCCUUUUCCAGCAAAUUCUGUCGGCUGUGGAUUACUGUCAUCGGCAUAUGGUGGUUCACAGAGACCUGAAACCAGAGAAUGUGCUGCUGGAUGCACACAUGAAUGCCAAGAUAGCUGAUUUUGGACUUUCCAAUAUGAUGUCUGAUGGUGAAUUUCUGCGAACGAGCUGUGGGUCACCCAACUAUGCAGCACCUGAAGUUAUCUCCGGAAGGUUGUAUGCUGGUCCAGAGGUUGAUAUCUGGAGUUGUGGUGUAAUUCUCUAUGCUCUUCUCUGUGGGACUCUUCCUUUUGAUGAUGAGCAUGUCCCAACACUCUUUAAAAAAAUCCGUGGAGGUGUCUUUUACAUUCCUGAAUACCUCAACCGUUCAGUUGCUACCUUAGUUAUGCAUAUGCUACAGGUUGACCCACUCAAACGAGCAACCAUCAAGGACAUACGAGAACACGAAUGGUUCAAACAGGAACUGCCAAGUUACUUAUUCCCAGAGGAUCCUUCUUAUGAUGCGAAUGUCAUUGACGAUGAUGCUGUGCGAGAAGUAUGUGAGAAAUUUGAGUGCCCUGAAUCUGAGGUGAUGACCAGCUUGUAUAGUGGGGAUCCCCAAGACCAGCUUGCGGUAGCAUACCACCUUAUUAUUGACAAUCGGAGAAUCAUGAACCAAGCCAGUGAGUUCUACCUCGCUUCCAGCCCUCCCACUGGCUCUUUUAUGGACGACACUAUGCACAUCCCCCCAGGGGUGAAACCCCACCCGGAGAGGAUGCCUCCUCUAGUAGCAGAUAGUCCCAAAGCAAAAUGUCCCUUAGAUGCACUGAAUACCACUAAGCCAAAACCACUGACUGUGAAAAAAGCCAAGUGGCAUUUAGGAAUACGGAGUCAAAGCAAGCCUUAUGACAUCAUGGCAGAAGUCUACCGUGCUAUGAAACAGCUGGAUUUUGAAUGGAAGGUGGUGAAUGCCUAUCAUCUUAGAGUCCGUCGGAAGAAUCCAGUAACGGGAAAUUAUGUGAAAAUGAGUUUGCAGCUUUAUCAGGUUGACAAUCGCAGCUAUCUUUUGGACUUUAAGAGCAUUGAUGAUGAUGUCAUGGAGCAAAGAUCAGGCUCUUCCACACCUCAGCGCUCAUGCUCUGCAGCUCGUUUGCACAGACCAAGACUGAGUUUUGAUUCUGCCACUGCUGACUGCCAGUCGCUCCCAGGAUCCCUCACUAGCUCCUUGACUGGGAGCAUGCCCUCUGUAACGCCACGUCUGGGUAGCCACACCAUGGAUUUCUUUGAAAUGUGUGCCAGUCUCAUCAUGGCGCUUGCUCGCUGAAAGGGAGUUUGGAAUGUUUCUGUUGGAUGGUGAAUAUGCUAGAAGAGAUGGUGCCGUGGAGUGAUUGGCAGUCUUAGGAAAGAAGGAUCAGGGCGCUAUCCAGCUACUGGUAGCUGAUGAAGAUAUUCCUUUGCCAUUCCCAAAUUAGAGUCUACAGAAAAUGAAACAGCUGCCAAAAUAUAAACAUGCGUGCUAUUGCUGAAUCCACAGUGCCCCUGACAUUGUGUAUAUAUCAGUGCAAUAAUGUUCCUGAAGACUUGAUUAUUCCUUCAAAUGAAUCAGUAAAUUUAUUUGAUUUCAGUAAGCACAUAUUCAGUAAGCUCCAUCGGAAGUGCACUUUUUGCAUAUUUGAAGCCCUGGUAGCAGAUAUUUGCAAGUUUAGUCCCAAGAAUCUUCAGUUUGAAACCUUUUAUUGGCAGGCCUGGCAGUCUGUUGUAAUGCAACUUUUUUCUUUGUUAGAGUGCUUUUGGAAUGGUGCAAUUUUAAGAGCACUUUCCUAGGAUUAAGCGCCAUUGAAUAAAAUGGGAUUUAUUUAAAGUAGGCCUUCUUAGUAUUAAGUGAUCUGCUGCAGUCUAAAGUUAUCCUUCCAUAGGGUCAAUUCCUCCAAAAACCCACUUCUGUGGAAAAUACAGCACAUCAAAAAAUACUAAGAGGGAUCCACCCUCCAUUUUCUGACACAGUGGAAAGCUGAUCACUGUGGCUGAAGGCACUAGGUUACUCAUGAUAAGGCAGUUUUCCCAAAGCCUUAUUAUGCUAUGGUGAAAUCAGAGUGACUUUUUCCUAAUGGCAGCAAGCAAGGAAUGAUGCACAAGUUAUGGAAUACCAGGUGCACCAAAAAAAGUCUGUUAUUUCCAGUCCUUUCCCAAGUGCUACACAUGUAACAGAAUUUUGAUUACUGCUGGAGUGUUUGGUUACCAUAUUUGGUCUUAUUCCAGUGGAAAGUUUCAGAUCUUUGAACUGAAGAGUUAAAAAGAAAUGGAGGAGUACCUUCUCUUACUAAAGUUUGCCUAUAAUAACCAGUAGCAGCAGCACAGAUCAGGCAUACAUGGAUGGCUGCAGGAGUUGCAGGAUGAUACUUGUCGGUCUUCUUUGCCACACCUCCCAGGCAUAGCCUGUGCUUGUAAUGCAUGGACUGGGCCCAUGUUUGCUGCUCCAUAGUGACAGCGGAGGCCCAGGCCCAGUAACGCUCCCUGCAAUCUCAUCAAGAAAUCAGCAAUCACUUGAGUACUUAACAAGCCUUUUGUGGGAUGGUAGCAGCACAGGGUUAUUGGCUCAUUUCGUAAACAUCCCAUGGUAACAUUUUCACAGUUUAAUUAAAGUUUUGCAUUAAGGAGUUUAUGUUUCCUCUAAAGGGAAUUUUUUUCCUACUGCAGCCUUUCAUCAUAACUGCUUUGUGCUCACAGCUGUUCAUUGGCCUGGGCUUGUUAAGCUCAGACCACCUACUAGCGCUCAUAAGCCAUACUCAGACUGCUCUUAAUCACAUUAUUAGUCCUCCAUCAAUCAUGGCAGGCCAUGUUUUGUACUGAAUAUAUCCAAGUGCAACUAUUUAAAUAAUAAAUUAAUAACCCCUUGGCUACUGAAGAUCAGAAAUCCUGUUACUGUCCAUUAAUGGGAGGGUGGGAAGAAGAUUAUAUUGUUCCUCCAGUUCAGAAAGUAACUCACAACCUGCACAAAGCAAAAGAAUUGCAGGGAAGCCAAGGUUAUUUCAAGGGACAUGAGGGUAAUGGAGGCAGUUAGAAAGACUAAAGGAGUAGAAAAGAACUUGCUUGGUUUUCCCAGAGCUAUGAAUUAAAUGAGUUUGUUCUUCUUUAUCUCUUCAGUUGUAUUGUCCUCUCUUUUACUUUCUGAUUCCCGUCAUGUCAUGUGUCACCAUUUCUUCAUUCACAUUUUUUGCUUACAAGGAGCUUGUAGAUCCGCUAACAUCUACUAAAGCUAAUAAGAUAAUGCAUUUCAUAUUUUCCUCUCCUCAUCCCAAACUCAUUUCUUUUUUCACCUUUUUAGAAUAUGUUUGAUUUUUUAAAUCCUGUCCUUUCUCCAGGGAGCUCAGGACUCCAUACAUGGUUCCCUUCCACCCUCCCCAUUAUCCUAAAGCCCUCAUGAAGUAGACGAGGCCGAAGGUCACACAUUGUCACAGCAGUGUAUGGAUCUGGAAUUGAGUCUCAUCCAACACUCUGUUACCGGACAAUGGACGGGGUUGUAUUAUGGACACUUCACCUUCACUUUCUCCUCUUCCCAGAGAUCCAGAAAUAUUUGACAGUUAAAACUAGACUUCAAGGGACUGCACUAGGACUAGGUUUGCAUCAUGAAUGUUUUCUAAGAGUAACAUGAGUCCUUCUCAAAAUGUCAGUCAUAGGUCCACUGAUUAGCCAUUCAUGAAGUGGUAUAUUAUUGACCCUUUGAAGUAAUAAUUGUAAAAACAUUGGCCUGCUGCCCUGCUGAAGGUACCGGAGACUUCAAUGAAAGCCACAUCACACCAUCAUUCUGUCUGUCUAACUCUGUAAGCCGUAGAAGUUCAAGGUAACCUCUCCACCCAAACUGAAUGUGAGUUUCCAAUACAGAGGAGGUUGCACAUGGUCAAGUUGCCAUUUAGAUUGUCCAAAAUAUAUAACAAAAAAGGCAGCCUUGGCAGAGUCAUGUGUGUUUCUUAUGCAUUCAGAUUAAUGCCUUUGAGGUCAAGGGUUAGGGUUCAGUGAGCUUUGCAUUUCAGUUCAAAUAAUCUUCCAGAAACUGAGUCUCUGGCAAUUAUUUCCUCACUGACAGGACAGGAGCCAAAUUUACCUUUCUGACAGAAGAGGAGAUAGCACACAGAACGGAUUCUAUUUCAUUGAAGCUGGAACAUAAAUUUGACAAUGCUGGUCCAGGCUACAGGGUUUUCCUGUACCUAUAAACCUUAAUUGAUUGUGACCUUCACCAGUAUACUGAUAAAGCAGGGAUAAUGUCUGUUCCAUUGUUCUUUUUGUAAAUGUUCUCUGAAGGAAUCAGGUUUACUUAUAUUUCCAACAGCAUCAGAAUUUAAAAUUAUUUUAUGAAAGGGCAGCUUGUGUGGAUAGUGUACUUAUUAGUUAAUGAUGUUGGGUUAAUAUAAUUGUCUUUUUGUUUAACAAUGAGGUUUAAUUAAUUGUUGCCUGAUAGAAGGGGGGAAACAGGCUGAAGUCAAGGCAAGGUGAACAAAAUUAUGACUGAGCAGAAAACAGUCACCAUUUGCUGAAGCUUUCGGUAAGGCCUUCUUCAUUAAAACAUUGCCAUUUUAAAGAUAUUUGGCACACUGUUCUCCUAUAGAAAGAACAAAACUAGUGUAUUUCAUGUUUCUUCUGAGCUAUCACUAUUUUCCCCAUGCCAGAUAGAGAGUUUUAUGUCAUAUUUGUUUGUGUUCCUCAACAGUUUGAAAAAACCCUAAAGUAGGCAUGCCACGCCUGAGGAGCAAAACAGCACCGUCAGGUUGUCUAUCAAGAACAGAAUUUAAAGAAAAAACAAAAGCAAGAUUAGUUGCUCAGUUAAAACCAUCUGAUUUGCUGUUACCAGUAAUGCUAAAGUGGUAUCUCAUAAUCUUUAACAUACCAGAAAAAACUGCCUGAAACAUAACGAGCAACAAGUUUCUUUUGACCACUUGUAACUCUACCUGCAGGACAGGUCUAAAGUGUUAACUUCUGUGUUAGGUUUUAGCACUUAAGUUGCACUUUGCCUCUUUUAGAGGUAACACGCUAAUGAGAAAAAUAAAAAGAUAUUCACAAUAAUGCCUGUUAAGUGGUUAACACUUUUUAAGAGCCCUGCAGACUGGAAGGUUCUUACGUGUAGCUUUAGUGAUCUGUCCAAAUGGCUGGAGGCCAUCACAAACGAUGAAAGCUCAGUUUGUACGCUGAGCUGCCCAUGUGGGUUUGUUAUCCUUCAUGACUUUCUAUACAUUGUGGAACAAAUAUUUAAUAGUAGAAUUUAGAAAUGUCUAGCCAUCAUGUAUUUAAACAUCUGCCAAAAUGGAAUCUUUUAAACAGACCUUUGACUUCAGAAUUUCAUCAGAGAGUUUAUAGCAUUCAUAGUACAGGUUCCGAUAGCCAUCACCUAUAUUUUGUUCCAGUAUGAGGGUUCGAACAAGCAGGACGGGCUUGAAGUCAAAGUGUAAUUUUCAGCCACUGUUUCCUUAUUGGCAUGCUGCAAUAUAGAGGUCAUAAAAGAAGUCCUGGCUUUGAAAAGAUUUAAGAUGACACAGUGAGUGGUCUGGUCAUCAUUGGGGGGUGGGGAACAUUCAUUAUGGCUCAUAACAUGAUCCUGUAGGCCUUUAUGCAGGUUUCAAGCAGGGACCCUGCCACUGGAAGCAGGGACCCUGCCACUGGAAGGAAAACAGUACCAAAACAGUCAUUGGUGCAUCUUUAGUAGAAUCAUGGUAUGUUCUGUUACAGGUUUAUAUAGUUAAAUUUACAGCUGUAGCUUAGUGACAAUUUGUUGCUCAUAUCAGUGGUAAUAUAUUGAUUCAAGAAAAAGCCUGGCCUGUACUAGAGAAACUAAAAUUGUGCCUUCAGUUUGCAUCAACUGCUCAUAGUCCCAAAAGCUUUAUUUCCAUUAUUUCCACAACUACUGUGCAGCAUACAGUAACCCAUAAACAGGAAUUCUCUGCAAAAUUUGAAGGGCUUGCUAUGUUCUUACUUUGCCUUAACAUUAAAAUUUGUAUGGAACAAAAAAUCAUCUUUCAGUAGAUAGAUGGCUGAUGCCACAGGUUGCAGUUGUAUCAAGGGUAAAUUUACAAGGCAUUCAUCCUGCAUUUUCCCAACUAAAAUUACAUGCUGCUUUCUGUUCCUCUCCUUUUCCCAGCCCUAUGCUAAACAGUAUAUGGUCACUUUGGGGCUUGGUUUUAUUCCCCAGUAUUUCAUCCAUAAUUGUUUCCUAUCACCACAAUCCAGAGCUUUCAGAUGUCUUUCUAUUAAAAACAGUAUGUUCCCAUUCAGAACCUAUGCCCAGGCUGCGUGGUUGAGGCUGUGCUCAUGCUGCACACCCCAUCCAUUUCAUAAGAUAGCAGUUCCACAGGCACUAUCCUUUGCACUUAAAGAAUUUGUGCAUAGGAGUUUCAUAUUUACACAGCACUGGAUCACAUAGUAGACUAUGACCACAAUGAGACAAGCAGACAGUAUAUUUAGAAAUAAGGGGGUGGUGAAUGCUCUUACGUCUUCUCUUUGGCAUUUUCUCUACAGUAACUCCCAUGUCAGAAAAAGCAAGCCACUUUCAGCUGAAGAGGUGUCUUGCCUCUUCAAAAGUGAGAGCUGCUUUGGAUACAGAUCCAAAAAUAAGUUGCAGCUGUGCACACAGGUUUUAAUUUGCAUGCAAGUAACCCUGGAUCAUCCCAGACCCGAGUUGUUCAUAAGCCAUGCUGUAAUUGCAAUACAUUUAUUAUUAUGAAAGUUCAAAGGUAACUGAAAAAGCAGCCAUUCAAACCACUAGUAAAUGCAGUUUUCUGUGCAUUUAGACAGCAAUAUGUCUUUAUAUACAAGUUUAAUGGACAAGGAACCUGGUAAUCAGCUAAGAUAUUCUACCCUUUUGCUAUGUUGUCACAUUUAUGCUUGAUUCUCAAAUGCCUUGAAUCUCCCGUUGAAGCUGCCUUACUUGAUCAAACUUGUUUAUGUAAUUGCAUUUAUUUGAAGACUCCUCAUGUUCCACUAUGCAUUUGCUUUUCUUCAAUGGUUGAAUGUAGUUUAUUUAUCCUCAUAUCCCAAAGUUCUGACACAGCUACCAUAAAUACACCAGUAUUUAUUCUUGUUGCUGGAAGUGAAGUCACUUUGUAUUGUUUUUCACAAAUGGAUGUUUUGUAAAUCUAGCAGUAUUUUUCUUUCGUGUGCAAAACAAAGCUGAAAGCCACAUGAUCACAGCUAUGACCUUGAAAACUACUGUAAUUUGUUGAAUUAAUAGUCUCACCCAUCUAUGCCCCAAAGAAGUUUAAGACGGCUGUAUAUUUGUAUUUCCUGUUACUUAAUAAUGGAGCAAUCUACGUUAUGUAAAUUACUACGCCAGCAGGUGGAGGUGAAAUACAAUGUUUUGCAGACUGUGUCAUAAAAAUGCUUUCAGAUUAAGCUUCAAUUUUAGGUUUAUAGAAAGGCAACACAGGACUAUUUUUAAGUAAUUGCUGCUUUAUUUGUAUCAGCAGCAUUUGGAAAAGGUAUACUCCUUUAAAUUGGUUUUAUGCAUAAAAUGAAGGCUAAAUAACUGCAAGCCAGAUUGUAAUUUACCU